GGAAACUUCUGUUCUCCAUCAUCACUGAAGUGGUCCAGCAUAUCACCGUGGUCAGCCGAGAACUUCGUGACACAUGCGGCGGUCAGUGUGGAGUGAGAUAGAAGGCAGGGGAGCACCAGAGAAACAAAUUCUUGCCUGCCAGUUUCCAGAGCCCCAGUAAUGCAGAGCGGUGCAGUCGGGGAGCAAGAAACCUGGAGGUCCAGGAGGACUAGGGAAGACCAGACAGCAGAGCGGUGUCAGUGAUAAAGAGAGGAAGAUGGAGAAUGUCC